AAUAGAUACCCGGUAGUCCACGCCGUAAACGAUGAGUGCUAAGUGUUAGAGGGUUUCCGCCCUUUAGUGCUGCAGCAAACGCAUUAAGCACUCCGCCUGGGGAGUACGGCCGCAAGGCUGAAACUCAAAGGAAUUGACGGGGGCCCGCACAAGCGGUGGAGCAUGUGGUUUAAUUCGAAGCAACGCGAAGAACCUUACCAGGUCUUGACAUCCCCUGACAACCCUAGAGAUAGGGCGUUCCCCUUCGGGGGACAGGGUGACAGGUGGUGCAUGGUUGUCGUCAGCUCGUGUCGUGAGAUGUUGGGUUAAGUCCCGCAACGAGCGCAACCCUUGAUCUUAGUUGCCAGCAUUCAGUUGGGCACUCUAAGGUGACUGCCGGUGACAAACCGGAGGAAGGUGGGGAUGACGUCAAAUCAUCAUGCCCCUUAUGACCUGGGCUACACACGUGCUACAAUGGAUGGUACAAAGGGCUGCAAAACCGCGAGGUUAAGCGAAUCCCAUAAAACCAUUCUCAGUUCGGAUUGCAGG
rnacentral:rRNA from 1 species